rnacentral:tRNA from 1 species
GAGUAUAGAGCAGUUUGGUAGCUCAUAAGGC